GCCUGACUGGCUCAGUUGGUAGAGCAUGAGGCUCUAGAUCUCAGGGUCCUGAGUUCGAGCCCCACAUUGGGUG
rnacentral:tRNA from 1 species